rnacentral:rRNA from 1 species
UACGUAGGGACCAAGCGUUGUUCGGAUUUACUGGGCGUAAAGGGCGCGUAGGCGGCGACUCUAGUCAGAUGUGAAAGUCCUGGGCUUAACCUGGGGACUGCAUUUGAUACUGGGUUGCUUGAAUUCGGUAGAGGAUAGCGGAAUUCCCAGUGUAGAGGUGAAAUUCGUAGAUAUUGGGAAGAACACCGGUGGCGAAGGCGGCUAUCUGGACCGACAUUGACGCUGAGGCGCGAAAGCGUGGGGAGCAAACAGG